rnacentral:rRNA from 1 species
CAGCCGCCGCGGUAAUACGUAGGGUGCAAGCGUUAAUCGGAAUUACUGGGCGUAAAGCGUGCGCAGGCGGUUUGUUAAGACAGAUGUGAAAUCCCCGGACUCAACCUGGGAACUGCAUUUGUGACUGGCAAGCUAGAGUGUGGCAGAGGGGGGUGGAAUUCCGCGUGUAGCAGUGCAAUGCGUAGAUAUGCGGAGGAACACCGAUGGCGAAGGCAGCCCCCUAGGCCAACACUGACGCUCAUGCACGAAAGCGUGGGGAGCAAACAGGAUUAGAUACCCCAGUAGUCCCUGUCUCUUAUAC